UACGUAGGGUGCAAGCGUUGUCCGGAAUUAUUGGGCGUAAAGAGCUCGUAGGCGGUUUGUUGCGUCUAUCGUGAAAUCCCCGAGGCUCAACCUCGGGCCUGCAGUGGGUACGGGCAGACUGGAGUGCGGUAGGGGAGAAUGGAAUUCCUGGUGUAGCGGUGGAAUGCGCAGAUAUCAGGAGGAACACCGAUGGCGAAGGCAGUUCUCUGGGCCGUAACUGACGCCUGGAGGAAGCGAAAGGCGUAGGGGAGC
rnacentral:rRNA from 1 species